AGCCUGAACGCUGGCGGCGUGGCUAAGACAUGCAAGUCGCACGGUGUAGCAAUACACAGUGGCGAACGGGAGAGUAAUGAAUCGCUAACGUACCCCGGACUCCGGGAUAGCCAUCCGAAAGGAUGGGUAAUACCGGAUGACAUCACCGACAGGCAUCUGUUGGUGCUCAAAGGUCC
rnacentral:rRNA from 1 species